CCAAGCUAGCCUUUAUGGGAAGCGCAGAAGUCAGAAAGAGGAAGAUGAGCAAGAAGAUCUAACCAAGGAUAUGGAAGACCCAACACCUGUACCCAAUAUAGAAGAAGUAGUACUUCCCAAAAAUGUGAACCUAAAGAAAGAUAGUGAAAAUACACCUGUUAAAGGAGGAACUGUAGCAGAUCUAGAUGAGCAGGAUGAAGAAACAGUCACAGCAGGAGGAAAGGAAGAUGAAGAUCCUGCCAAAGGUGAUCAGAGUCGAUCAGUUGACCCUGGGGAAGAUAAUGUGACAGAGCAGACCAAUCACAUUAUUAUUCCUAGUUAUGCAUCAUGGUUUGAUUAUAACUGUAUUCAUGUGAUUGAACGGCGUGCUCUUCCUGAGUUCUUCAAUGGAAAAAACAAAUCCAAGACUCCAGAAAUGUGAGGCCAGUGUUUUAGAUAACUUGUUUAUUUGCCUGUGUGCGGUAGGGGCUCUUCAAGCAUCCACCUGAGUUCCUUAUUGCUGAUUCUUGGAAGUUUGCAAAUACUCCUUUCAGAACAGUGUUCAUAUCUCAUUUGCAUAGCAUUCCAUGGUACACAGGAAAUUGUAUCUAGUUUCGUUUUUUGUUUUGGGGUUUUUUUUUUGGUGUUUGUU
rnacentral:sRNA from 1 species